rnacentral:sRNA from 1 species
UCAACGGUCGCAUGCAACACUGUGUGUGAACAAGAGAGUGAAUGCGUAUGUGUGCGUGCGAGUGUGUGAGUUUGUGUGUGUGAAGAGAACGAAAUGCCAAUCAGUUGGUGCCGAGUUUUUGCUUCGUAUGCAGCACGGCGACAACAAGGCUAAAAAUGUGAAAAGAGAAAACGCCUCAACAAAAACAAAAACCACAAGAAUAUCAACAAUAGCAACAACAAAUAUCAAGAAAUAACAAGCAACAAAAGCGUUUCAAGCAGUCAACGUGCCACAAGUCAAAUCAAAUCGGAGACGCCUCACGUGCUCGUUGCAUUUUGGCCACGUGGCCGUGUCCAAUGGCCCAGUCGGGAGCAGAUGCCACAGCGACAA